AUACCGUGAAACUGCGAAUGGCUCAUUAAAUCAGUUAUCGUUUAUUUGAUAGUACCUUACUACUUGGAUAACCGUGGUAAUUCUAGAGCUAAUACAUGCUGAAAACCCCAACUUCGGGAGGGGUGUAUUUAUUAGAUAAAAAACCAACGCCCUUUCGGGGCUUCUUGGUGAUUCAUGAUAACUUUACGGAUCGCAUGGCCUUGCGCCGGCGACGGUUCAUUCAAAUUUCUGCCCUAUCAACUUUCGAUGGUAAGGUAUUGGCUUACCAUGGUUUCAACGGGUAACGGGGAAUUAGGGUUCGAUUCCGGAGAGGGAGCCUGAGAAACGGCUACCACAUCCAAGGAAGGCAGCAGGCGCGCAAAUUACCCAAUCCCGACUCGGGGAGGUAGUGACAAUAAAUACUGAUACAGGGCUCUUUUGGGUCUUGUAAUUGGAAUGAGUACAAUUUAAACCUCUUAACGAGGAACAAUUGGAGGGCAAGUCUGGUGCCAGCAGCCGCGGUAAUUCCAGCUCCAAUAGCGUAUAUUAAAGUUGUUGCAGUUAAAAAGCUCGUAGUUGAACCUUGGGUCUGGCUGGCAGGUCCGCCUCACCGCGUGUACUUGUCCGGCCGGGCCUUCCUUCUGGAGAACCUCAUGCCCUUCACUGGGCGUGUUGGGGACCAGGACUUUUACUUUGAAAAAAUUAGAGUGUUCAAAGCAGGCCUUUGCUCGAAUACGUUAGCAUGGAAUAAUAGAAUAGGACGUGCGGUCCUAUUUUGUUGGUUUCUAGGACCGCCGUAAUGAUUAAUAGGGACAGUCGGGGGCAUCAGUAUUCAAUUGUCAGAGGUGAAAUUCUUGGAUUUAUUGAAGACUAACUACUGCGAAAGCAUUUGCCAAGGAUGUUUUCAUUAAUCAGUGAACGAAAGUUAGGGGAUCGAAGACGAUCAGAUACCGUCGUAGUCUUAACCGUAAACUAUGCCGACUAGGGAUCGGGCGAUGUUCUUUUUCUGACUCGCUCGGCACCUUACGAGAAAUCAAA
rnacentral:rRNA from 1 species